rnacentral:rRNA from 1 species
UACGGAGGGUGCGAGCGUUGUUCGGAAUCACUGGGCGUAAAGGGCGUGUAGGCGGUCCGCUAAGUCUGAUGUGAAAGCCCGGGGCUCACCCCCGGAAGUGCAUUGGAAACUGGCGGACUCGAGUCCCGGAGAGGAGAGUGGAAUUCCUGGUGUAGCGGUGAAAUGCGUAGAUAUCAGGAGGAACACCGGUGGCGAAGGCGGCUCUCUGGACGGUGGCUGACGCUGAGACGCGAAAGCGUGGGGAGCAAACAGG